ensembl:lncRNA
GUGAUUCUGUUAUUUUUAUGACUAGGUGUCAGCUGCAGAGGGGGUCUCAGCUUCCCAGAUGGGCUAUGAACCUGAUCAGUCAACAGAAAGGGAUGGAAAACACACCCAUGGAAGAACUUUGGAUCGCAGGGCAUUGGACGGGGACUUUCCCCAGACUUCCCUUCUUUGUAGCAUGGUUUCUGGACUGAGUGACUAAACCAUUCUGGGAAGAGAGAUAAGAAAAAGAACUCACUUGGAGGUCUUUCUCCAGGAAGACAGGAGAAUGUUAUUAAAUCAUGUGGAUCGUCUUCUGUCCUUCCCCUCUUCAAGAAUCCAGCUGCAUCUCCAGCCUUCUUCACUUGUAUUGCAAGCUCCCAAUUUCUGAAGCAAUAAAGUCUGAAUACACCAAUUGGCAAUUGGACCUCUUUUUCCCCUGGAGUCCCUUCCAGGGAAAUUUUCUGUGAAUGACUUUAGCAGAACUACUCAAGGAGCUGUGAAACACACAUCGAUGAGAUCACAAGGAGACUAUUUAAUAGGAUUUCUCUUUUUUCGAGUUUCCCCGAGGACUGCCACGCUAAUAAUUCACCCAGGCAGCUGCCCAUUUAUUUCCUCCCAAUACUCAAAGCUCUGGGUCAUGACCAAGUUCAAAAGUGCCUGAACUUCAGUACCCAACAUCAGGCCCAAUGAUUCAACUUCACCUCUCUGUCUCCUGGCACUGCUGGCUAAGGAAGGGACCACCUUCCAGUAUAUUUGCCAAGUUGGACAAUGGGCUGGUGAGGAAGGAAAAGGAGAGGCCAGUAUGAGAAGAAGACUGAAUACAUAGCUAUAACCAAAAUGCCUUUCUCUUUUAUUUUUACCACAUGAAAAAAAAUGGCAUGAGGGAUAAAAGUCAAGUUUGCUGGUCAGUAGUUCAGAGACUUUUGAAAAAUUCCCAUAUUGCCAGAAACAAUAUAUGCAGCAGCUACAACAAUGAGAAUGGAAAGACCAUCACUGACACUAUGAAUAACAAAGUGGAAACUGGUGAAGUGAGAUUGCAAUGGCCAAGUUGGGUCACAAAAAAGAAUAUGUGAAUGAACCUCCCUCCUUGUUUGUUGGCUGAUGGGGGGUACUAUCCAUGGGAAAUAUUGCAAAUAAUGUCAGUUGUGAUGGAUGUGCUGAUUAAUUUUACUCAAUUUAUUUUUUAGUGUGUGUUCCCUUUUUUUGUUGUUCUUCUGUAUUACAGAUGACUUUCCAGGAGGGAGGGAGAGGGAGGACUAGAUAAGUGAAUGUGAUGUAAAGUUGAAUAAUAAAAUAAAAAUAUAAUUAGAAAGAAAAGUCUAA